UCCUGGCUUAGGAUGAACGCUAGCGAUAGGCCUAACACAUGCAAGUCGAGGGCAUCACAUGAAGUAGCAAUGCGGAUGGUGGCGACCGGCGCACGGGUGAGUAACACGUAUGCAACCUGCCUUCAACAAGGGGAUAACCCGUUGAAAGACGGACUAAUACCCUAUAACACAGGGGCCCCGCAUGGGGAUAUUUGUUAAAGAUUAAUCGGUUGAAGAUGGGCAUGCGUUCCAUUAGCUAGUUGGUGGGGUAAUGGCCCACCAAGGCAACGAUGGAUAGGGGAACUGAGAGGUUUAUCCCCCACACUGGUACUGAGACACGGACCAGACUCCUACGGGAGGCAGCAGUGAGGAAUAUUGGUCAAUGGACGCAAGUCUGAACCAGCCACGUCGCGUGAAGGAAGACGGCCCUACGGGUUGUAAACUUCUUUUGCAAGGGAAUAAAGUGAGUCACGUGUGACUUUUUGCAAGUACCUUGCGAAUAAGGAUCGGCUAACUCCGUGCCAGCAGCUGC
rnacentral:rRNA from 1 species